GAUGAACGCUGGCGGCGUGCCUAAUACAUGCAAGUCGAGCGGUAAGGCUCCUUCGGGAGUACACGAGCGGCGGACGGGCGAGUAAUACGUAGGAACGUACCCCAAAGUGAGGAAUAACCAGCCGAAAGGUUGGCUAAUACCGCAUAUGCUCUACGGAGUAAAGCAGCAAUGCGCUUUGGGAACGGCCUGCGUCCGAUUAGCUAGUUGGUAAGGUAAAGGCUUACCAAGGCGACGAUCGGUAGCUGUUCUGAGAGGAUGAUCAGCCACACUGGAACUGAGACACGGUCCAGACUCCUACGGGAGGCAGCAGUAGGGAAUUUUCCACAAUGGGCGAAAGCCUGAUGGAGCAACGCCGCGUGCAGGAUGAAGGCCUUAGGGUUGUAAACUGCUUUUAUCUGUGACGAUUAUGACAAUAGCAGAUGAAUAGGGAUCGGCUAACUCCGUGCCAGCAGCCGCGGUAA
rnacentral:rRNA from 1 species